rnacentral:rRNA from 1 species
AUUGAACGCUGGCGGCAGGCUUAACACAUGCAAGUCGAGCGAGCGGCGGACGGGUGAGUAAUGUCUGGGAAACUGCCUGAUGGAGGGGGAUAACUACUGGAAACGGUAGCUAAUACCGCAUACCAUCAGAUGUGCCCAGAUGGGAUUAGCUAGUAGGUGGGGUAAUGGCUCACCAAGGCGACGAUCCCUAGCUGGGCUGAGAGGAGGACCAGCAAAACUGGAACGGAGACACGGGCCAGAUUCCUACGGGAGGCAGCAUGGGGGAAUAUUGCACAAUGGGCGCAAGCCGGAGGCAGCCAUGCCGCGUGUGUGAAGAGGGCCGUCGGGUUGUAAAGCACUUUCAGCGAGGAGGCGUUACUCGCAGAAGAAGCACCGGCUAACUCCGUGCCAGCAGCCGCGGUAAUAC